rnacentral:rRNA from 1 species
ACGAACGUUGGCGGCCUGGAUUAGGCAUGCAAGUUGAGCGUACCCAGCAAUGGGGAGCAGCGUAAGGGGCAGUAAGGCAUGGGUAUCUACCCGGGGAUCGGGCAUAGCCUGUAGAGAUACAGGGUAAUUCCCGAUGAUGUCGCAAGACCAAAGCUCCGGCGUCCCUGGAGGAGCCCAUGUGAUAUUAGCUAGUUGGUGGGGUAACGGCCCACCAAGGCGAAGAUGUCUAGCGGGUGUGAGAGCACGACCCGCGCCACUGGCACUGAGACACUGGCCAGACACCUACGGGUGGCUGCAGUCGAGGAUCUUCGGCAAUGGGCGCAAGCCUGACCGAGCGAGGCCGCGUGGGCGAUGAAGGCCUUCGGGUUGUAAAGCCCUGUCGAGGGGGAGAAAAGCCGAAAGGUUUGAUCUAUCCCUGGAGGAAGCACGGGCUAAGUUCGU